CUCCACCUGCCUCUGCCUCCUGCGUUCUGGGAUUAGAGGCCCUCACUGUCCAGCCACUACUUUUUUUUUAAUAGCAUAAAUAACUGGUUUGUUUGUUUUGUUGGAAGCGCAGGGAUUGAACCUAAAGUUUUAAACUUGCUGAGCAAAUGCCAAACCACUGAAGCUCUCUGGAAUCUUAAUCCAUCUUUCUGGGUACCCUCCCUAGUGAGUGCUAAAGGUGGAAGCCAGAGCCGGAUGCUCAUACUGUGUGCUGAGCUCCACCCUCCACCAAGCAUUUCCACCUUUAAAAAGACAUCUCCUCGAGUCAGAGGUAGGAGGAUGUGAGUUCAAGACAUUUGUCUUGACAAUUUAAUGAGAGUGUGUCUCAAAGUCAAAAAUAAUAACAAAGAAGCCCAUGGUAGGUAAGGUAGGGACAGGAUGGGGCAUGACCAGAUGUCCACCCAGUCCAUCCACAGCCACCUUUGCAUUUAGAGCAGGGUGGUGUCCUUCCCGCAUCUGCUUAGAGUGUCCUUCCCGUAUCUGCUUUGUUGGUUAACUUAGCCAAACUUCAUCCAAUUUCCAAAGAGUCUAUCAGGCCUAACUUCUCUGUGAACUUUCCCCAGACCACUGUCCCUCAACUGACCCAACCUUCACACUAUACACAAAGAAAUUAAACAGCAAACUAGGGGCUCUGUUGGAAGAAGACUCUCAGGGGGUUAACUCUGAGAUACACAUUCAAUGCUGUUCAAAGGUUCUCUGGGAGGCGGAGCUCCUGCUGGGGGCGGACUGCAUGCAAAGCUUUCACUGGUUGCCUUUAUGAACUCAGGACUCAGGAGGUCUCCUCCACAGAUGCUGACCAGGACAGUGAGACAGUCAAGUAUAUCUGCAUGCGCACAGUCCCUCACACUUCCUCUGCUGGCUGUUCUUGGUUGUCAACUUGACUACAUCUGGAAUGAAUUCCAAUCCAGACAUGGAGGGCACACCUGUGAGAAAUUUUCUGCUUGGUUGGAAGUGGGUGAAUCUACUUCUAGUCUGGACCUUUGAGGUAAGAGGACACACGCUUUUGAUUGGGAUCUUGAGAUGGGAAGACAGGUGUCUUUGACGUCUGGUCUUGGGGGGGAAAGAUGCCCCUGGAAUCUGGACCAUACCUGCUGAACGUCUACGGAGGGACAUGGAAGGGAGGAAGGUUCUGCUUUUUUGCCUGCUUGCCCUCAUCUUGCUAGGAAGUCCAUUCCUUCUCUUGUAUUGUAGCUUACUUCUUCCGAAUCCCAGAGUCUAUUGAAGACCAGCUGAGAUAUCCAGCCUUGUGGGCUGAGCAACAUCUGGAUUCUUGGGAGUUCCUAUACAUAGCCCACCAUUGCUGGAUUAGUUGCAUCACAGCCUAAAUGACUCGAACAGAGUCUUCACUAUAGAGACUUGCCUAUCCUAAGACAUCGGAAAGAAAUGAACCUUGCUACUUAACAGGAAACCCCAAACUGGAGCUGUAGUGAAACGUCCCACGUAUCUACUUCAGUGGGUAAAACUUAUGGCUGGCCUUACCAAGUGUCGAUAAGGAUAUAGAACAUUAAGGAACCUACACUGUGGGCAGGUUAAUCCUCUGUUAGCAGUCCGUGCUGGUGUUUCCUAUCCCACUUACUAUGUGACAACUGUGAGCCGGCAGCGAGAUCGCAGGCAGGCAGUGGAAUUAGCCUGUGAGUCACACUUGCUGUGAACCGACUUACUAUGCGUGUUCCGCCCAGGGUGUGAACUGGUGUGAAGUUGAAGCAUUCUCAGCACACAUUAUCAACUUCCAGAGACACAGCUGGAUGGAGCCUGGAUUAAUAGGGCUGGGUCGACUAGACACACCGUGGAGUGGAGCAGAAGACGGAUGUACAGGUUGAAAAUAAAGUUACAAAGGAAGAAUUCAUUUCAAUGUUCCCUAGGGCUAUGGGAAAACACCUUCGCCCUCCCAUCUUCCUUCCUUUCUUUCUCAGCACUAGCUGUUGCAGCCAGCGUUCUGUGCAUGCCAAGGACAUGUUCUACUACCUAUGCCACCCUCAGCCCAAGAUAGUUCCAAGUACCUAGUGAGGAAGUAGAAAUGCUAAGCAGCCCAAUUCGAGCACUGUACACUGUAUAUAGGUGUUUGCUUCUCACGUGGCUCGUCGUGAACACGUAAAAAUGCUGUCAACUAGCAAACAAAACUGCAGGACGUGCCCCAGAUAAAGCAAUGGGAAGUGAGGUGUCUUAAUGGGAACAGUAACUCAGGAUGCUGGAUGAGCCGGAUACUUGUGCCUUUGCUCCUCAAGAUAUUUUGCAGAGCCUGCAGCUGGAAACUCCUCCAAGUGUGAGGCCUUGAUGGCUGUUUUCAGUGUAUUUUGACAUUGCUUUAAAGAAAACAGUCACAAAUGGAUGAAGGAGGAGGACCAGGAGGAAGACACUUGCUCCUGGAUGGUGGAGAAGGACCAGGAGGAAGAUGCUUGCUCCUUCUGGGGGCAUCACAAAGAACAAAGGGAAAAAUAAGGCUCAUUAAAACAGUUUCUUCGAGCCUCAUGUAUUAAACGUCACAUUUUCUGGCUGCUGUUUUGAGGCAUUAAGAGACUCGUAUUUUAAUAUAAAAACCACAGAAUGCUGGCUUUUCUCUGUGCUGUGCCAUUAUCUGGCUUUUGGCAGACUUAAAAUUCUUCCUUUUAAAACUAUUUCCUUUUGGAGGUCAGCUGAAAGUCCAGUUCAAGUACCACAUUGAUAAAACUGAACACAGGACCACUCUUAAAAGCCAACAAUUAUGGGUCCCAGUAGAAAAACUCUUUGCGGUGCCAGGCUUCCGAGACAUCAUGCCUCAAAUGUGGCUUUGUGUCAAGGCAGCUGUAUCCACAGGCGAAAAGUUAAAAGACUUAUUUGAAAAUGUUUCCACUUUUGGAAGCUCCCUUUUGCAACUUCACUGUUGAUGGAAGGCGAGAGCAGGGUUUGGAGGAGGUUUUUCCAGCUACCGGGACUGGCUGGGUCUGAGGUCACAUGUCCUGACCUUGGGAGGGAGGCUGGUUUCAUGGGUGUCAGGUCCUCUAACCUCUAGCCAAGUUUUCUCCAUCAGUCUGCAUAGCUCCAGCAAGUGGUGUCUCUAUUCUGAUGGCAAAAGACCGAAACUUGUUCAUUCACUGGGGAUCAAGGAUUUUGUGUUAGUUGGCAAAUUUGCGGCUUAAAAUCACAUUCAUCUUUAAGACAGUUUAUAAUUACAGUGUCCAAUGAAUUCCAUUUCUUUACUACCUCCUAAAUAGCCUGCCAGUCCUACUUGGCCCUGUGCAAUUUUCUCCAAAGCAAUGACUACCAAACAGAAUGCAGGUGUGGGACAAAAGCCACAGGAGCUCUGAGCAAAACGAGACUCUGGAUAACUAAACUGUUGACCACUGGUAGAGAAUUGAAAAUAAAAAAUGUCUGUACGCUUGAGGUAGGAAGAGGACUGAUCCAGAUGAGCUGUUUUCAAGUCAACUUAACGGAAAUACGAAAGGUACGUGCACCAACACGUGACACUAGCUGGAUGGAUUUUUGAAAGAAUUAGCAGCCCUGAUUAACCAGUGAGAGACCAGCCCUCAACACUGUCAUCGCUGUCCUCCUACUGUUUCUAGGCAACCAGGAGCCAGCAAUCUAGGCCCGGCCAGAUUUUGUAAAUAAAGUUUUAUUGCAAGACGGCUACACUCAUCUCUUUGCGUGCCAUUUGUGGCUAGUUUUGUACAAGCCCAGCCCAGUGAUUAUUUGCAGCAGCGACUACCUGGAUCAGGGAAUCUCGAGGGCUAUCUGGACCUUUCCAGAAGUUUCCAGACCACGAAUGAAUACAGAGCAACCCUGAACAGAAGAGAACAUGAGUAACAUAUGUAAAUUUAAAUUUCCCAGUGACCGCAAACCAGGGAAAGGACUUUUACCAUCGCAUUUUAUUUCACCCAUACGUCUAAACGAGUUCAACUUACAAUUACCAUGUUAAAAAUGGGAUAUCUCGGGGUUGGGGAUUUAGCU
rnacentral:sRNA from 1 species